CAUGGAAUCUAUAAUUGUAUUGAAGCUGGAAAUAAAGAUGAUGAAUUGGUUUCAACCUUUAAAUCAAGAUAAGAAAAUAUGAAGGGCAAAAACACAUCUCCAAAUCCAGGUAGUUGCUAAUCUAGUGAUAAUGGCGGAUGCUAUGAUUUCAGCUGUGGUGGAGAGAGUUGCAGCUCUAAUUGAGGAAAAGAUUCGGUAGGAAGUCAAUUUGGUGAGAGGUGUUGACAAGGAGCUUGACGAACUUUCCGACAAGCUUAAGACGGUCAGAAAUGUGUUGGAUGAUGCAGAAAAAAGAGGAGUGGACGAUCAAAGCAUCAAACGUUGGCUGAAGAAGCUCGAAACUACGGCAUACGAGAUUGACGACAUUUUGGAUGAAUGGAACUACUCUCUACUAAUCCCCGGCUUCAACUUCGCCAAAGAGUUGCUGAAGUUGAAAUCCCCUGCUGUUGAUUGUUUCUACUUGAGAAAAGAGGGCCAUAUCUGCACGUUCGUCUCAGCAUACUUGCGCGGCUCACACUACAAAAUGUACCACAACUGCAAGAUAAGGUAAGGUUGAUGAUGGCUGAGAAGAUUUGUAGCCUGAUUUUGCAAAUUUGCAGUUAUGAGAUUCUUCAACUCAUCUUUCCUAUGAUAUUUUCUAGUGGGAAAAAAUUUGUUGAUGUUUAUAGUAGUUCUAACAACUGACCUUGUUUUGAAACAAAGUAUUGAUCCUAUUAUGAAUUUAUGAUGAUUUUCACUUCAUUUU